rnacentral:lncRNA from 12 species
AUGCCCUCCCCCCUCCCCCUUGCCAUCCAAGAACUUUGUCAAACUCUGGGCCAAGUUACACUUGGUCCUCUCCCCCCUCUUUGCAACCCCCCCCCACCCCACCCCGCCGGCCGGCUCCGGGACCGGCAACCCCCUCCUGCUGGGAGGCGGGGCGCGCAGAGUGUCCGGGCCAGCGCCCCCCCGCCCCCGCCCGCGCCCGCGCCGCGGAAAACACCCGGCCGCGCCAGCCCUACCUCCAGAGCUUGCCCAACAAACUUGCUGAGCUCGGCGUUGUGCAGGUGCGGGUACUGGUCGGGGAGCUUCCUGGGCGCCGCAUGGGCCCACACCAUGAAGGCGUUCAUGGGCCGCUUGACGUGCGGCUUGUUCUUGCUCGAGCCGUUGACGCGCACGCGGCAUGGGCACCAGCGUCCAGUCGUAGCCCUUGAGGACCUGGCUGACGCCCUCGCGUAUGCACACGGGGAACUCGUCCUCCUCGCUCUCCUUCUUCAGGUCCGGCUCGCCCUUGGGGAACGUGUUCUCCUGGGGCCGCGUGUUCUCGGUGUCCGAGCCGGAGCCCGAAGGGCAGGGCGAGCCCGCCGAGUCCUCGGACAUGGUGGGGCUGGGGGCGCCGGACAGGCCCUUCUCCUGCUCGUCGGUCAUCUUCAUGAAGGGGUCCAGGAGAUUCAUGCGCGGGCCCGGGGCAGGGGGCGGGUGGCCGGGAAGGGCGAGAAGCCGCGGCGGCUCGGGGCGUCGAGGCGCGGGCUCCUCUCCCCUCGGCUGCCCGGACGCGGGGCGAGCGGCUCCCGGGGAGCCUGGCGCGUCCCGGGGCUGCGGCGGCGGCGGGCGCUCGGGGAUGCGCGCGGUGGCCAGCCCGCAGCUGCCCGCUCGGGGUGGGGGGAGGCGAGCUGGAGAGGAGGAGGAGGAGGAGGAGGAGGGGGAGCGAGAGAGCAAAGGCGAGGCGCUUGCACCCCUUCGCUUCUCCUCCCGCAGAGAAAAGUUCCUGGAGUGAAUCGGGCAAGUCGCAGCGCCACUGAAGUUUCCAGUGAGUUUCAAGCUCCGCUCUCCGCUCCCCGACUCCCGGCCCCGGGGCUCUUUAAUAACUACUGCGCCUCACCUUAG